UACGGAGGGUGCAAGCGUUAUCCGGAUUCACUGGGUUUAAAGGGUGCGUAGGAGGGCAGGUAAGUCAGUGGUGAAAUCUCCGGGCUCAACUCGGAAACUGCCGUUGAAACUGUUGAACUUGAGGACGAGAGAGGUGAGUGGAAUUCCCAGUGUAGAGGUGAAAUUCGUAGAUAUUGGGAAGAACACCAGUGGCGAAGGCGGCUCACUGGCUCGUAUCUGACGCUCAGGCGCGAUAGCGUGGGGAUCAAACAGG
rnacentral:rRNA from 1 species